rfam:Jannaschia aquimarina strain GSW-M26 jaqu_contig000032, whole genome shotgun sequence.
UCAGCGUCCCAACGGCUUCCUGACGGGACGGUUAGCAACUCUAUCGGAGCG